CAGGUGAAUUUCUGUUGGGAUUACUCCUUGGGCACUGAAGGUAGGAACUAGGCCUACCAAGAUCUGUGUGCUGCUUGUUGCAGGCUCCUACCCCAUCUCCGUCAGUCAGAUGCCCAGUGAUGGAGCCCCGCAGAUUCCCCUGCAAUCCCUGUGGUGCAAGAUCAGAGUAGGUGGUCCCAUAAAGCAACCCAAAAUGCUUGGAGAUGGCUGGUGGUCCCCAUGGGUUCUCUUUUCUUGCUGGAGGAAGCAGAGGCUCAGGAGAGACCUCUCUGCAUGGUGCUAUGCUGACCUCCUCUUACCCUCUGACCAGUCUGUCUUGGUCUCUGUGCAUCGGGGUGCAUCGGCCUCCCUCCAGGUUCUAGGAUUCUCUCGGUGGUGUCCUUGAAUAGGUAUUAGGGAGACUGGAGUCAGGAAUUACCUAUGUUGCCAUCCUCGUGGCACUGAUUCAGUCUUUUUCUGAUUUAUGAAUAAACUGAAAGAAGAUAUUCUGACAAAGUUACCAAAAUUAUAGUGACAUUUAGUUACAUAUUUAACAAAUGACCUUUAUUGAAUGACAAACAUUUAAAUAAUUAGAUAAAAAUGAAAUGAUAACAUUUCUUUUCUUUCACGACUGUCCUGACCUCUCCAGGCACAUAGUUGCCACACUUGAACCCCACCCAGAACAUCAGGAUGCGCCACCCUGAAGGUCUGAGGAGGCUUCUAGGAGCUCUGGGGAAAGCAGGUCACCUCUUUCCAGCCAGGCAAGGCUGGGUCUGAAUCCUGACUUCACCUCUCACUUUCUUUAAGCAACUCCAUGCCUCCAAGCUCAGUUUUCUCACUGGUCAGAAGAAAACUGACUUAAGCUGUGCAGCGUGGAUUUAGGCCACCACUUGCUCAUCUUCAUUCAACCAACCACCUCACUCACUAGCAGAUGAGAAUCAUCAUUUUCGUACAUGUUCUGAGCUUUCGCCAUAAGGUAACCAGCUGGCUGUGUCUUGGUCUCUCUCCAUCCCUAGCAGGAUGGACCCACGAUCCUGGCUCACAGAAGCGUGUAGCCCAGUCAGGGAGGUUCUGCCCAAACUCAGGGCUCCUCAGAGACCAGGUCCUCUGCUCGAACUUCUGGAGAUGCCCUGGUUCCUCUACAGCAAAACAAAUCACCUCUUUGAGCAAAAAGCUCUGAAACUUAGAGGGCAGAGAGGAUGAAGGCUGCAGAUCUCUGUAAAUUACAUAUUAUCCACUCCCAGGAUGCCUGUGAACAUAGAGCCGACAACAGCAACAAGAAGCCAAUGUCUGACACCUAA